AUGCACAGCUGCGGUGCGCCCCGCCGCCCGCCAGAGGCUCGGCUCGCGCGGCGCGGCCGCUGCGACUUCCUGGAGUUCUGCCUGCCGGGGGCGCGGGCGGGUGUGUGAGAGAGAAGGCGAAGGGAGCCGCGGGGUGGGAGAGGAGGGAGUCCCGGCGGGAGGGCGGGGGAGAGGCUGGCGGGAGGGGGGCUCCACGGAGCUCCAGCCAGGGCCGCGGUUCGCCUGCACGUCACGGCUACUCAAACCCAAGCACGUCCCGAAAGCGGUAUUUUCUGCGUCUGGGAGGUUUUUGCAUCCUCAGUUCCCACCGCUGGGGCUGGCGGCGACCAACUCGCAGACCUGUCGCAGCCAGAGAGCUGUCAUUUCAGUACCGGGAUUCAGAAUUGAUCCAGUCCGCAGCGGAGGGGGCACAUCCCAGCUACCGAGCUGCUGAGUGUCUCUGGCUGGAACAAUAGUAUUUUUUUCUCUGCGAGGCUGCAAUUAACAUCUUAUUUGUUCUGGCUCCAUACAGGCUUUGUCAGGAUCGCGGUGCGGCGACCGACGUUGGGCUCUUGCAUUGCUUUGUGCUUGGCAAUGGAAUCAUGGUUUCGGGGUCUAAACUUUUGUUUCGUUUUGUAGUCUUAAUGUAUCUGAUUCUUUUUCAAGUUUCCCUAGUAACAGGUUUGGGGACGGGGUGGGAAGAAGCGAGAAAAGGGGUGAAGAGAAAAAACCAGAUUAUAUAGAAAGGAAAAAGGGAAAAGGGAUGUUUCCCCACCUUUUAAUCUAACUAUCUAUCUGUCUGUCUAUCUAUCAUCAUAGAUAGUCAUUUUGCCUCCUGGACAGUUGGCUGACGAAGUGUCUGAUAAACCAGCUUCAGAUACAUGCUACAAAAGGUCAUUCGCCUCCUGAUUAUGUUUCUACUUGUAAACGCAGUUGGUGGUUUGCAAAACAAGUGCUAAAAUAGUGCAGUGAUGUGGUGGGAGGAAACCAUAAUGGGUAAUUCAUAUAAAGUGCUGGAAUCUUCGUAAGGGGCAGGGUCAGAAAAGAAAGCCACCCUUAAUAAAGCGCUUCACCCUUCACAUUGUUUCUCAUAACCUUCAUAAAUUGCAGGCUACUGAGCUGGCCUGAUGAUGAUCCUUCUGAGAUAUAUUUAUAGCAGAUGAUUUGUGGAUGAUAACUACGCCAAGCAAGACACUGUCUCCAGUAACCCCAGGCUCGUCUGACUUCCUCAGGGGAUUAUAAUAAAGAAUCACAAAAAGAACCCUAUAUGGACAGUCUGGUCUCUGGACACUAACAACAGCACAAUCCAAAGGCAAAGAAAGGAGGAACCACCUUGUUUCAUGUCUGCAAGCUGCUCCAUAUGAAAGCAUUGCUGACAUGUUGACCCAACAGCAAAAAGAGAGCAGCAGUUUACACACCCUCAGCUCUCUGUCCUUUCCUUUCUAUUGAUGUUGGUCCACUUUUAUGACUGAAUACAUAUUAAAAUCACCAUUUCAAAUUAUAAUUAUCUGCUUUCAUUGGUCUCUUUCACAAGUCUAUGUCUAUAUUUAUGUUUACAUAUAUAAACACAUAUACACAUAUUUUAUACAUACAUAUGUAUAUGUAUGCACGCAUUAUUUGUAAGUACACAUACACGUGUGUGUAUAUAUAUGUAUAUGAUAUGUAUAUGUGUAUUUCAGUUGAUACACAUAUAUUUGCUUGGGAAGUUUCACUACAUUGCUUUGUAUUUCUCUUUUAUAAGGUAAUGCAUUUAAUUCCAAAACUACCACAUUAAUUGUAUAAAUUGAUUAUUACAUAAGUUUCCUUGAUGAUUUACAGAAGAACUAUUGAGAGGUCAGUGUUAGCACAUCAAAAUAUAGUCUGGUAUGGCAUUUUAAAUUGACCCAGGUAUCUAAUAUUAAAGCCUUUCAAAUUUAUCUCUCCUGCUAUUAUUUUAUUAAGAUUACUUUGGAAUGAUGAGGUUAUAAGUGUGAUUUAUUUCUGUUUCAUCUUUUUGUCUGUAUGUGCUAAGUUUAGUCCCUCCACUUUGAGAAUAACCCUAUAAUCCAGGAUCAUUGCUUAAAAUUCAGUAUCAUUUGCAGAAUUCUCAUACUCAAAUAAGAAUGUUUCUAGAAUAUGUUUACUCAAUUUUAGAAAGUAUUUUCUCUUUCCUUCUUUCUGUCAUAGUUUUUCUGAUAUUACUGUAUUACCACAUUCUAAACUCUGUGACUUGUUAUUUUCAGUAAGGCUUUAAGAAGCAUGGAUAGGUUUGUAGGUUAUUUCUUGUUAAAUAUGCCUUAAUUUUUUAGUAUUUAGUAUUAGUAUUUAGUUUUUAGUAUUUAGUAUUUAGUAUCUCCCAUAUAUAUAUAUGCACACAUAUAUAUAUACACAUAUAUAUGUACACACAUACAUAUAUACACACACAUAUAUAUACACACACAUACACAAAGCUUUGGAAUGUUAAUUAAAUGAUCAAAAUAUUACAAGAUUACAUUGUUAUGAGAACUUAUCCUUAAUAUUAGCAUAUUUACUAUAAAGUUAAACAACUUCUUCUCCUCUGUCUCCUGUUUAUUAUCAUUAUUUUAUUAUUAUUAAAAAAGGAAGUCUCUCAGAAACCAAGCUGUAUAUCCUCUAGUCUCUAUGUAAAAAAACAAAUUGGUCAUUUUCUACUUGGACAUCCCAGAAUAGAAAGUACAUUGAAGUACUAAAAAAUAAAGGGAUAGACUUGGGGUUAAGGGAGAUGUCAUAGAACAGCUAUCCUGGGUUAGUUCAAGUGUAGUCCUAUUCCAUGCUAGGCAAAGUCAAGGUUACAAAAAUCCCAGUUGCAUCAGGUUUCCAUUUUUUAUCAUUAUUUCCCUAUACAACGAUACAAGUUAAAAAAAAGUCGGUAAAUACUUUUGGCCAUCAAUUUUCAAGAUUUCAUUGGUGAUAUUAAGGAAAUGCUGUAAGUAGGUAACACAUAAUGUCAUAUUUGUGUGCUGUAGAAGUAUCUUGGAAAAUAUGGACUUUAAAACCUCAAAAUAUGGGUUUGCAAUCGAACAUACAUUCACCCCCAAAUUUGACCUUUUUCAGCUAGUUAUUUUCUCAUAUAAAGUUACUAUACUUACACCAUUAUCUUUAAUCCCUGAAAUUUCAAUUAUACUAGAAAUCAAGAUUCUUCAUUUUUACUCACGAAACUGACACUAAGUAUAUACCUCAUUAAGGACAAGAAGCUAUGAAUUCUCUGGACUUCAGUUAUCUCACAGAAAAGAGCUUGAUUGAAUAAUGUCUAAGGCUCUUCCUGACAUAGUCUAAAUAACAGAAGGUGUCUCACAAGAAAUGGAAGCAGUGAGAGAAAAAUGCAAUUAAAUCCUAGACUAGAAAGAAUCACAAUUUUCCCACUCACAGGUUGGAAAUGCCUCUCUAUUCUAUCACAAUUUUGAAAACCUCCAUAGUUUUACUAGCUUUGCCUUUCUCCCUUGCUAUCAUCUUCUGAGGUACAGACAGUCCUUUCCAUUUUUAUUCCUCUCCCACUCUGAUAAUUUUUUUCUUUGACAGAAGUCCCACUUUAUCAUUAAUGAUGACAAUAACUAAGGCUGCCAGGAACAGCACAUCUGCUGAGCUUUAUCAACACCAGAUUCUCUCAUUUUGCCUUCUGGAUCUCCAUGCUUUUUUAUACCAACAAACAAGAGGAAGAAUAUUCUCUACCCACUUCCUUGACUGAAGCCUGCUCUUUUAUGAAGACAUGGCAUCUCUUCCAACCGUGUCAAACAGAUGCAAUUUAUAUGUCUGCUGCUUCCAUACCCUGAUUAAAUGGGUCAGUGGCAGAAUCAGUAUCCUUAGUCUCCCCUUUGGUUUCAAAUAUGUACUCCUUAUUUCAGUUUCAUGCUCACCUUUCUGUAGAGACCAAGGCAUCUGCCUUUGCAGCUUUACCUCUUCCUCCAGGUUAUAGUUUCCAUUCAUGGAAUCUUUUAGCUGCUGGCUGGCAGUUUUCCUGUCUACCUGACUUCCAUUCCUCUUCUCAUGACUUCAGCUCCCAUGCAGAUGUCUUAUCCUGACAUACUAGCUUCUCCAUUCUAUUUCUGUGUGUGUGUGUCUGUGUGUUUCCCUACUAGUUCAUCCACAUUUCCCUAUGGUCUUUUUUUUUUAUGUUUUAUUUUUGCAUAUGUGUAUUUCCUUUUAUUUAUUUAUUUAUUUAUUUAU
rnacentral:lncRNA from 1 species